rnacentral:rRNA from 1 species
CUAAGUUUGAUGGCGACCGGCGCACGGGUGAGUAACACGUAUCCAACCUGCCGAUGACUCGGGGAUAGCCUUUCGAAAGAAAGAUUAAUACCCGAUGGCAUAGUUCUUCCGCAUGGUAGAACUAUUAAAGAAUUUCGGUCAUCGAUGGGGAUGCGUUCCAUUAGGUUGUUGGCGGGGUAACGGCCCACCAAGCCUUCGAUGGAUAGGGGUUCUGAGAGGAAGGUCCCCCACAUUGGAACUGAGACACGGUCCAAACUCCUACGGGAGGCGGCAUG